AAGUCGUAACAAGGUUUCCGUAGGUGAACCUGCGGAAGGAUCAUUACCUUUCAAUGCAGCAGAAUGGGGAUGGUUGAGUUUCUCGCCUCUCUGUUCUGCCUGUAUUCUACCCUUGUUUGUCAUAUACUAUUAUUUCCUCGGCAGGCUUGCUUGCCGAGUGAAACCACUUAUAACCUAUUUAAUUUUCAAUCAGCGUCUGAACAAAAUUAAUAAUUACAACUUUCAACAACGGAUCUCUUGGUUCUG
rnacentral:misc_RNA from 1 species